rnacentral:rRNA from 1 species
UACGUAGGGUGCGAGCGUUGUCCGGAAUUAUUGGGCGUAAAGGGCUCGUAGGCGGUUUGUCGCGUCGGGAGUGAAAACCCCAGGGCUUAACCCUGGGCUGGCUUUCGAUACGGGCAGACUAGAGGUAUGCAGGGGAGAACGGAAUUCCUGGUGUAGCGGUGAAAUGCGCAGAUAUCAGGAGGAACACCGGUGGCGAAGGCGGGUCUCUGGGCCGAUACUGACGCUGAGGAGCGAAAGCGUGGGGAGCGAACAGG